rnacentral:rRNA from 1 species
CUACGGGGUGCUCCAGUGAGGAAUAUUGCACAAUGGGGGGAACCCUGAUGCAGCAACGCCGCGUGGAGGAUGACGCAUUUCGGUGUGUAAACUCCUUUUAUAUGUCAAGAAAAUGACGGUAGCAUAUGAAUAAGCACCGGCUAACUCCGUGCCAGCAGCCGCGGUAAUACGGAGGGUGCAAGCGUUACUCGGAAUCACUGGGCGUAAAGGAAGCGUAGGCGGGUUGGAAAGUCAGGUGUGAAAUCCUACAGCUUAACUGUAGAACUGCACUUGAAACUUCUAAUCUAGAGUAUGGGAGGGGGAGAUGGAAUUAGUGGUGUAGGGGUAAUAUCCGUAGAUAUCACUAGGAAUACCUAAAGCGAAGGCGAUCUCCUGGAACAUAACUGACGCUAAGGCGUGAAAGCGUGGGGAGCAAACAGGAUUAGAUACCCCUGUAGUC